GACGGGGGGAUGCAAGUGUUAUCCGGAAUAAUUGGGCGUAAAGCGUCUGUAGGUGGUUUACCAAGUCUGUUGUUAAAAAAUCAGGGCUUAACCCUGAUCCGGCAACAGAAACUAGUAGGCUGGAGUACGGUAGGGGCAGAGGGAAUUCUCGGUGUAGUGGUGAAAUACGUAGAUAUCGAGAAGAACACCAAUAGCGAAAGCACUCUGCUGGGCCGAAACUGACAUUGAGAGACGAAAGCUAGGGGAGCGAAAGGG
rnacentral:rRNA from 1 species